CUCCCUCGUGGCUGCCGCGGCCGCCGCCGCCUCCUCCGUGUCCUCGUCGGCCGCCCUGGGGACUCUGCACCAAGGGACUGCCCUGUCCAGUGUCGAGAACUUUACCGCUAGGAUUUCCAAUUGUUAAUAACGCUAUGUUAGCGCGCUUGAGAAACAGAAGGUAGGAAUCCCGGCCCCUUUUUUCGUCUUGGUGGUUUGGUGUUUUGUUCGCUCCUCCCGGCCUCGCGCCCCCAUUUUCGUCGCUUCGGAUUCUCAGACAGGACUGUGUUUGGCAACGGCUUUGCGGGUCCUUCUAUUUAUGCAAAGUCGCCCUAUGCUGCAGUCCCCGACCUGGGGCAGGGAGGAAGAGGGUGCCGGUGGGUCUGCUCUGUCUAGGCACAGGGGCUUCCUUGACUUUUGGGAAAUCUUUAAAAAUCUAAGCCUUUUUGAGGUCUAGAGAUUCUCAGGUCUAGGGAUUUAGACAAAUCAAUAUGUUCAAAAGAAUAACGCAAAAAUAGUAAAGGUCCCAAAGAAAUCCAGCGAAGCAAUAGUUUUUAUUUGGAGAGACUUGUCUGGUGUGCUUUUUCAUGAGAAGAAAAAAAAACUUAACAUGUUUACACAAGGAAACAAUUCAAAACUUCUUACUUUAACCUGUGUUUUGUAUCAUAAUAGACAUGCGGAAUUUUUAUUUUGUUCGUACUGCGUAUUCUUUACAAGGAGUAUUGUAAAUUUUACUGGCAAUUAUUGUACUAUUCUAACAUAAGAUUUUUACACUUUUUCAGAAAUAAAAUGCUUAAUUUUCAAAAAAUCCACCAAAAAAAUUGGCUCCAGUUGUUCCCUUAGUUUAUUUUCUGUUAAAAAAGUUUCUAUGUGAGAUAAGUGGGAACCCAUAUUUUUUAAAAAGGCAAAUAUUUUCAAAGAGGAUUUAACAAAAGCAUCAUGCCAUGAUUUUUUAUUUAUACUUUCUAAGUCAAAACUAUUGCAGAAACUCAGAAGUUAUUUUUAAAUGACUACAAAUAAGUCACUUUGGUAUACAUUUUCAAAUCUCAUUUUAUUCCAUUUUUAAGAGCAUUGAAGCUAUUUAAAAUUAAAGCCACAAUUACCCUAGGAUAAUUUUAUAGAAGUUUUCAUUUUAUUUUUGAGCUUCACACUUCAAAUAAUUUCUGCUCACAUUUGAGCACAAUAUUGUAUAUAUCCGUAAAACCUCUGCAACAGUAUUAUAUUGUAAUAGAAGCAACACAAAUACAUAGGGACUUUUCAGUUUUAAAAAUUUAAUAGACGUCAUCAAAUGGCUUUACAGUUCUAAAUAAAAUAUUUAAGUAUACAAAAUCAAUUGCAUUUGAAAGUCUUGAUAUUUAAAGCUAUUUUCUCAACAGAAAAGAUUCCAGUAAUUGCAUAAAGUUUUUAUCCUAAAAGGCAAACUUAUCAAAUUCUAGUUUAAAUGAAUAACAGGGUGUGUAAGUGAAAUCUUCAAUUUUAGAAUAGUGCAAAAUUCAAAGAAUGAAAACACAUCUGGUGUUUAUUGAAUUAAUUAUAUUUUUACAAUGUAGGUAAUUUUGGAUAUCUUUCAAAUUCUAAGUGUUUUCAUUACUUGUUGCAGGUAAUUUUUAGUUCUCUGAAAAAAUGUGAGACUCUAAUUUUGAUGACUACAAAUGUUAUUGUGGGCUCCAAAUAAAACCAAGGUAUGUGUAAUACAAAAUUUAAAUGUGUAAUAUCAGUGCGUUGCAGAGGAGGUAAAAUCUGUUCAUUAAAUUUUUUCCAAAUAUCUGGACAGGUGUAUAUCUGAAGAUCUGCAGAUUUAACCUAGCAAGUUAACGAAGACUGAGUUAUAGGCCAAUAUUUUGCAGUGACAUUCAUUCUUGAUGUGCUGUCAUCUUGUUUAUUUUUAGGGAGGAAAAAGUGACUCACGCGGCUGAGAGAGAAAACUUUGGUAACCAAGGACGUCUGGAUGUCACUGCUGCCCCGAGUGGAGAGGCGUUAGCAGACGGAAUCCAAACAGUACAGGUACUGUUGGUGCGCCUCUCAGCCUUCUGUAACGCAUAGAUCUGAAAUUUCGAUUUGAAAGUUAUGAUGAAGAGAGCGAAAGAAUAAACACAUGUGUGUUAUUA